CAGCCGCCACGGUAAUACGAAGGGGGCUAGCGUUGCUCGGAAUCACUGGGCGUAAAGGGUGCGUAGGCGGGUCUUUAAGUCAGGGGUGAAAUCCUGGAGCUCAACUCCAGAACUGCCUUUGAUACUGAAGAUCUUGAGUUCGGGAGAGGUGAGUGGAACUGCGAAUGUAGAGGUGAAAUUCGUAGAUAUUCGCAAGAACACCAGUGGCGAGGGCGGCUCACUGGCCCGAUACUGACGCUGAGGCACGAAAGCGUGGGGAGCAAACAGGAUUAGAUACCCCUGUAGUCCCUGUCUCUUAUAC
rnacentral:rRNA from 1 species